CACGUAGGGGGCGAGCGUUGUUCGGAUUUAUUGGGCGUAAAGGGCGUGUAGGCGGUUCGGUAAGCCUGGUGUGAAAGGCGCAAGCUCAACUUGCGAUCCGCGCCGGGGACUGUCGGACUAGAGUUUCGGAAGGGAAGCUGGAAUUCCAGGUGUAGGGGUGAAAUCUGUAGAUAUCUGGAAGAACACCGGUGGCGAAGGCGAGCUUCUGGCCAGAGACUGACGCUGAGGCGCGAAAGCGUGGGGAGCAAACAGGAUUAGAUACCCUGGUAGUCCACGCUGUAAACGAUGUGCACUAGGUGUUGGGGCGUUCGCUUCAGUGCCGUAGCAAACGCGUUAAGUGCACCGCCUGGGGAGUAUGCUCGCAAGGGUGAAACUCAAAGGAAUUGACGGGG
rnacentral:rRNA from 1 species